CGAACGGGUGAGUAAUGCGUGACCAACCUGCCCCAUGCUCCAGAAUAGCUCUUGGAAACGGGUGGUAAUGCUGGAUGCUCCAACUUGACGCAUGUCUUGUUGGGAAAGUGUUUAGUGGCAUGGGAUGGGGUCGCGUCCUAUCAGCUUGUAGGCGGGGUAAUGGCCCACCUAGGCUUCGACGGGUAGCCGGCCUGAGAGGGCGGACGGCACAUUGGGACUGAGAUACGGCCCAGACUCCUACGGGAGGCAGCAGCC
rnacentral:rRNA from 1 species